AGUUGUUGUACCACAAUAGCAGAAGUGCUCAUGGUGCAGCCAUGUCAGAUUCCAAUGAAUCUGUGAAUUCUGCU
rnacentral:ribozyme from 1 species